GUUGUUGCGGUUAAAAAGCUCGUAGUUGGAUUUCUGCCGAGGACAGUCGGUCCGCCCUUGCGGGUGAGCAUCUGGAUGGCCCUGGGCAUCUUUUCCGAAGACUGUAUCUGCACUUCAUUGUGUGGAGCGGUAUUCGGAACCUUUACUUUGAGGAAAUUAGAGUGUUUCAGGCAUGCGCUUGUGGUGAAUACAUUAGCAUGGAAUAAUAAGAUAGGACUCGUGGCCUACUUUGUUGGUUUGUGUGCCAUAGGUAAUGAUUAAUAGGGAUAGUUGGGUGCAUGCGUAUUCAAUUGUCAGAGGUGAAAUUCGUGGAUUUGUUUAGGACCAACUACUGCGAAAGCAUUUGCCAAGGAUGUUUUCAUUGAUCAAGAACGAAAGUUAGGAGAUCGAAGACGAUUAGGUACCGUCGUAGUCUUAACCGUAAACCAUGCCGACUUGAGAUUGGGGGUCGUUAGCUUUAUGACUCCUUCAGCACCUUAUGAGAAAUCAAAGUUUUGGGGUUCUGGGGGGAGUAUGGUCGCAAGGCUGAAACUUAAAGGAAUUGACGGAAGGGCACCACCAGGAGUGGAGCCUGCGGCUUAAUUUGACUCAACACGGGUAAACUCACCAGGUCCAGACAUAGUAGGGAUCGACAUAUUGAUAGCUCUUUCUUGAUUCUACGGGUGGUGGUGCAUGGCCGUUCUCAGU
rnacentral:rRNA from 1 species